CCUGGAAACGGGGUCUAAUACCGGAUAUCACUUCCGCWGGCAUCUGCGGGAGUCGAAAGCUCCGGCGGUGAAGGAUGAGCCCGCGGCCUAUCAGCUUGUUGGUGAGGUAAUGGCUCACCAAGGCGACGACGGGUAKYCGGCCUGAGAGGGCGACCGGCCACACUGGKACUG
rnacentral:rRNA from 1 species